GAUGAACGCUGGCGGCGUGCCUAAUACAUGCAAGUCGAGCGAACGGACGAGAAGCUUGCUUCUCUGAUGUUAGCGGCGGACGGGUGAGUAACACGUGGAUAACCUACCUAUAAGACUGGGAUAACUUCGGGAAACCGGAGCUAAUACCGGAUAAUAUUUUGAACCGCAUGGUUCAAAAGUGAAAGACGGUCUUGCUGUCACUUAUAGAUGGAUCCGCGCUGCAUUAGCUAGUUGGUAAGGUAACGGCUUACCAAGGCAACGAUGCAUAGCCGACCUGAGAGGGUGAUCGGCCCAACUGGAACUGAGACACGGUCCAGACCCCUACGGGAGGCAGCAGUAGGGAAUCUUCCGCAAUGGGCGAAAGCCUGACGGAGCAACGCCGCGUGAGUGAUGAAGGUCUUCGGAUCGUAAAACUCUGUUAUUAGGGAAGAACAUAUGUGUAAGUAACUGUGCACAUCUUGACGGUACCUAAUCAGAAAGCCACGGCUAACUACGUG
rnacentral:rRNA from 1 species